rnacentral:rRNA from 1 species
UACGUAGGGUGCGAGCGUUGUCCGGAAUUAUUGGGCGUAAAGGGCUCGUAGGCGGUUUGUCGCGUCGGGAGUGAAAAUCCAGGGCUUAACUCUGGACUGGCUUCCGAUACGGGCAGACUAGAGGUAUGCAGGGGAGAACGGAAUUCCUGGUGUAGCGGUGAAAUGCGCAGAUAUCAGGAGGAACACCGGUGGCGAAGGCGGUUCUCUGGGCCGAUACUGACGCUGAGGAGCGAAAGCGUGGGGAGCAAACAGG